rnacentral:lncRNA from 1 species
ACAUUUUAAAACGAAUAGGGUCUGAUUCCUUCAAAUUUAGGCCCGACCCGGCCCGUGCCCAGCCCUACUCCUAACUCCAAAGUAAUGCUUUACUUAUAUUUUGGUUUUUCAUUCUUUUUUAAAAACAAAAAAAAAACAAAGUUUUUUUUCAAACUUAAUAAAGAAGACUUAUUAGAUGAGGUGGUGUGGUGCUCAUUAGGUAUUGGAUUCCUCGUCAACAACUUAUUAGUGGUUUAAGGACGAAUUAACUAGAGUAAUUAUGUUUAUUGGAUAAAUAUUACUAGACUAAUCAUCAACAUUUGACGAGUUACUCACAUUUUCUACCAUUCAAUAUCUAAUCACCCAUCAACUCAUGAGGCAACUCAUGAGGUACUUAUGAUUUGGUUUCGCAGCUUUUUAAUCAUAAAAUUGUUUUCGCUUUCUAAAGAAGCACAUACAAAAUCUUAACCCAAAAAAAAAAAGCACAUACAAAAUGUUUCUUCAAGAAACAUUUCCACGUAAUUUUCAAAAAUUUGCAUCUCUAAUACAAUUUUCGACGAUUUUUAAUAUAUAACUUUUUGAAUAAGCACUUAUUACAAAACCAAUACUAAACCAACUAUAAAUGGAUUCUUCUCUCCUUGUGAGAGGCUCUCUCUUCUUGAGAGUUCUUCUCACCACCUGUGGAAGUGGUUUCCUUUUCGUCCAAUUUUGAAGUCGUCGGCCCUCGCUAUGGCAUAUCUUUCCCUUCUCUCUGUUUCCUUAUUUCGUUCCUUCAACUACUUUUUUCUCCAGCUCUCCUUCCUAAUUUGCCAUGUCCUUCAUACCUCAUGGGCGUCCAUCUUCCCCAAGCACCUCCAAUUCGAUCUGCAGUCAGUCUUCAAUGCAACAAAUCAUCGAGAUGGUGUGUAGAGUUUUGAUGUUCAAACUGGCUCGGGUGUUAAAAUACCACCACCUUCUCUCUAUCUGCCUUUGUUGGUAGUAUUGCUCAUGGUAAUUCUGCAGGCUUCUUUUAAUUGGUGGCUGGCUUCUUUCCAUUUUUUGCUAAGAUGGCACGACGAUUGUAGUUGGAUGAUGAGGUCUUUUUUAAAAACAAAAAUAAAAAUAAAAACAAAACAAAAACAAAAAAAAAAAAAAAAAACUUUUUUUUGAACUUAGUGGAGAAGAAUUAUUAGAUAAGGUGGUGUGGUGCUCAUUAUGCAUUGGUUUCCUCGUCAGCAGCCUAUUAGUGGUUUAAGGAUGGAUUAACUGGAGUAAUCAUGUUUAUUGGAUAAAUAUUACUUGACCAAUCAUCAACAUUUGACGAUUUACUUACAUUUUCUACCAUUCAAUUAUCUAAUCAUCCAUCAACUCAUGAGGUACUUAUGAUUUGGUUUCGCAGCUUUUUAAUUAUAAAAUUGUUUUCGCUUUCUAAAGAAGCACACACAAAAUGUUUUUUCAACAAGCAGUUCCACACAAUUUUCAAAAAACACUUGCAUCUUUAAAAUCUAAUACAAAAUUUAACGAUUUUUAAUAUAAAAAAAAACUUUUUGAAUAAGCAUUUAUGAAACCAAUACUGAACCAACUUUAAAUGGAUUCUUCUCUUCUUGUUAGAGGCCCUCUUUUCCUGAGAGUUACUCUCACCACCGUGGAUCCAGGAUUUUAACAUGGAGUGGUUCUAACUUUAACACUGUUCUAAAAAUCCUCGCCUAGAGCCGCCUAGGCCCCACCCCACCGCCCCGAUUAAUGCCUAGGCUCCAGUCCACCGCCUAGACCACCUAGGCACCUACCUAGCCCGCCUAGGCACCCGCCUAGACCCGCCUAGGUUGCAACUCACUUAAACAGAAAAUACAUAACUUUCAUUUUGCAUUUUUUUUUCAAUAAAUUGUAAGAGACUUGUUGCAUACUUGAAUGAACAAACAUUAUAUCAUUAUUUCACAUGUUUUCAUUAUGUUCCAAUACUUCAUGAUAUAUAUGCAUUCUAUUUUGUAGUUUAUGAUGAAAUUAUAUAUAUUUCAAGUAGAAGCAGACACUUAUUUACCUGAAAUAUGAUAGAUUUACUUAAAUCCGCCUAUCUGCCUAGGCAUCCGCCUAGGCCCCGCCUAGCCGCUAAGCGCUAGGCCCCAGCCCACCGCCCGACUAGCGGCUAGCAACUUUUAGAACCUUGAACUUUAAAGCUCAAAAAAAAAAAAGAUUUAGACCAAACUAACAUGAAAAAAAAACGACAAAGUCACUAUCUGUCUAUCAAAAUAAAAUAUAUAUUUCUGUUGUCUUGAAGUAUAACUACAUAAUGUGUAACUCUUGUCGUGAAUGCGAGACUAUCAAAACUCUUGCCGUUAAUACAAAGACAAACACUGUAUUGAUCACUUGAGUGACAAAUCCUCACAACAUGCACUAAUAGAUAAACUAGGCACCCCAAAAAAAACUUGCAUAACUAAACUCUAAUUAGGGUUUUGGGAUCGAAGAGAAGAAUGGAAGAUGUAUGCAAACUAGAGGCUAAACCCAAAUGCCAACAAAGAUUAUACGUCCAGUGGGCAGCAGUCAACAAUAAGCAUAGAGAAGGAAGGUAAGUUUAAAGUUUUUUACUGGUUGGUAGAGUUGAGGAAUCCCAGUGUGUAAAACUCACGUGGAGUCUAAACCAAAGAGAUGUGAUCGGAUGUCCAAUCACAAUAAAAAAUGCACGCUUUUCAUUUUUUUUUAGGAAACUCUAACGAAAAUCAUAUGAUAUUGUUCACUUUAACGAAAAAUCAUAUUUUUACACUAAAAAAUCAAUCAUGGUACUAUUUAAUUUACCCUUUAUUUUGUCCUUAUCAUUAAAUCACAUUACCCAGUGUGUAAAACUCACGUGGAGUCUAAACCAAAGAGAUGUGAUCGGAUGUCCAAUCACAAUAAAAAAUGCACGCUUUCUAUUUUUUUUAGGAAACUCUAACGAAAAGCAUAUGGUACUAUUCAUUUUAACGAAAAAUCACAUUUUUACACUAAAAAGUCAAUUAUGGUACUAUUCACUUUACCCUUUAUUUUGUCUUUAUCAUUAGUUUCUUUUUUUUUUUUAAUGGUUUGGCUCAAAACGGUCUCGUUUUGGCCAAGUAAUUAGAAAGAAAAAGAGUCAUCUUCUUUCUUCUUCUGUUUUGCAGAAGAUGCUUGGCAGCCAUGGUUGCUCUUCUCCUCCACCAUAGCCCGGAUUUGGGUGGUCCUGGAGAUUUUCAUAGCCACUUUUUUGAGCCUUUGGGUGGUCCUGGAACCACUUUGAUCCCUUAAUAGAUCCGCCUCUGCUCACCACCUAUGUAAGUGGUUUCCUUUUCGUCCAAUUUCGAAGCCGCUGGCCCUUGCUGUGGCUGGGGUCGACGACAUAUCUUUCCCUUUUUCUCUUUGUUUCCUUCUUUCGUUCCUUUAGCUACUUUUUUCCCCAUCUCUCCUUCCUGAUUCGCCAUGUCCAUCAUACCCCAUGGGCGUCCAUCUUCCUCAAGCACCUCCAAUUUGAUCUGCAGUCAGUCUCCAACGCAAUUUGUUGCGAUCAAUCGAGAUGGAGUGUAGAGUUUUGACGUCUAAAUCAGCUCGGGUGAUAAAACACCACCCCCUUCGCUCUAUCUGUCUUUGUUGACAGUGUUGCUUGUGGUAAUUCCACGAACUUCUUUUAAUUGGUGGCUGGCUCCUUUGAAUUUAUGGCUGAGAUCGACGCGACGUUUGUGGAUGGAUGAUGCGGUCUUCCUUCACUUCAUCUCCGCGAUGCUGCAUGGUUGUGUUUUUGGCGUCUAUUGGGGGAGUCGAAUCGGGUUGAUCGUGACACACUGUUGCCGUGGUGGUAGCAGACAUCUUGAAUUUUCUUUUGAUUUGUUUCUGGUUUUGGGCUCAUUUUGAUUUGCUCGGGAGGUCCAUUUUUUGCUUUUUGUAUUUGGGCCUUUACCGUGUAAGCUAGUGUUAUUGGUAAUAAAAUUUAGUUAUGCAUUAUGGCCGUUGAUUUGCACCAAAGGAGCCUAAAAAAAUAGAAGAUCUGACUAGAACCAAGCGGGCCCACAACCAAACCCCUUACCCAAUAGCCUUCUCCAACCUCGGCAUCCGUUCUUCGCGCGGCGCCUCCCACGCAACCACCACUCAGCGACUUGGCGAGCACCGCAGCGUAGCGCUAAUAGCAAAGCAAAACGAACCGGCUUUCUCCACAAAACGCAGAGCCCUAGCUGCACAGACCACGUUUUCCCAUCGUGCCACGUGUAAUCCGUUCCCACCUCGCUCUCUCU